rnacentral:misc_RNA from 1 species
GAUUUUAAUGAAUUUUAAAUUAAAAUAACUAAUUUUGAUGGGAACCAAUUUGGAUAGACCCUUUAAUCAAGUCUAUUUUAGAUUGAUUGGACAUUUUGGCCCAACUUCCACGGUACAACUCUGUUGUGAUAAUGCCUUGCCUUAGAACAAUUUCAAAUUUCAAUAUCAAAAGCCCUAAUCUAUUAAUUUUUCAUGUAUGUACAAUUGCCCCACCAUUUUUUAUACAAUUUAUUUUUUUUUUUUAAUUUUACUUGU